rnacentral:rRNA from 1 species
AUUGAACGCUGGCGGCAGGCUUAACACAUGCAAGUCGAGCGGGGACUUCGGUCCUAGCGGCGAACGGGUGAGGAAUGCUUGGGAAUCUGCCUGGUAGUGGGGGAUAACGUUUCGAAAGGAACGCUAAUACCGCAUACGUCCUACGGGAGAAAGGGGGGGAUCUUCGGACCUCUCGCUAUCAGAUGAGCCCAAGUCGGAUUAGCUAGUUGGUGAGGUAAAGGCUCACCAAGGCGACGAUCCGUAGCUGGUCUGAGAGGAUGAUCAGCCACACUGGAACGGAGACACGGUCCAGACUCCUACGGGAGGCAGCAGUGGGGAAUAUUGGACAAUGGGCGAAAGCCUGAUCCAGCCAUGCCGCGUGUGUGGAGAAGGCCUUCGGGUUGUAAAGCACUUUAAGCGGGGAGGAAUGGCUCUGGGUUAAUACCCUUGAGCAGUGACGUUACUCGCAGAAUAAGCACCGGCUAACUCUGUGCCAGCAGCCGCCGUAAAAC